ensembl:snoRNA SNORD115 Small nucleolar RNA SNORD115
GGGUCAACGAUGAGAACUCAUAUGGUCUUGAACAGAGAUGAUGACAUAAAAAUCAUGCUCAAUAAGAUUACACUGAGGCCC